AGAGUUUGAUCAUGGCUCAGAAUGAACGCUGGCGGCGUGAUAACACAUGCAAGUCGAACGAGAAAUUUCCUGCUUGCAGGAGAAAGUAAAGUGGCGCACGGGUGAGUAACGCGUGGGUAAUCUGCCCUCGAAUUGGGGAUAACUUCGCGAAAGCGCAGCUAAUACCGGAUAUCGUCUUUGUUGCUUCGGCUUUAAAGAUGAAAGGUGACCUCUUCAUGAAAGUUGCCGUUCGAGGAGGAGCUCGCGUACCAUUAGCUAGUUGGCAGGGUAAUGGCCUACCAAGGCGACGAUGGUUAGCUGGUCUGAGAGGAUGACCAGCCACACUGGAACUGAAACACGGUCCAGACUCCUACGGGAGGCAGCAGUGAGGAAUUUUGCGCAAUGGGGGAAACCCUGACGCAGCAACGCCGCGUGAGUGAUGAAGAUCUUCGGAUCGUAAAGCUCUGUCAAGUGGGACAAAUGAUUUUCGGUUAAUACCCGGAAAUUUUGAUGGUACCACUGGAGGAAGCACCGGCUAACUCCGUGCCAGCAGCCGCGGUAAUACGGAGGGUGCAAGCGUUGUUCGGAAUUACUGGGCGUAAAGGGCGUGUAGGCGGCCCGGAAAGUCAGAUGUGAAAGCCCUGGGCUCAACUCAGGAAGUGCAUUUGAAACUACCAGGCUAGAGUAUGGGAGAGGAGAGUGGAAUUCCCAGUGUAGAGGUGAAAUUCGUAGAUAUUGGGAGGAACACCGGUGGCGAAGGCGACUCUCUGGACCAAUACUGACGCUGAGNNGCGAAAGCGUGGGUAGCAAACAGGAUUAGAUACCCUAGUAGUCC
rnacentral:rRNA from 1 species